rfam:Cajanus cajan CcLG06_514, whole genome shotgun sequence.
CUGUCUCUUGGAGUUCCUCUGAACGCUUCAUGUGAAUAUAUAGUACUAGUGUUGUUAUAUAUAGGUUUUAUUUUCAUGAAGUGUUUGGGGGAACUCUUGGGUUCAA